GAUGAACGCUGGCGGCGUGCCUAAUACAUGCAAGUCGAGCGAACAGACGAGGAGCUUGCUCCUCUGACGUUAGCGGCGGACGGGUGAGUAACACGUGGAUAACCUACCUAUAAGACUGGGAUAACUUCGGGAAACCGGAGCUAAUACCGGAUAAUAUAUUGAACCGCAUGGUUCAAUAGUGAAAGACGGUUUUGCUGUCACUUAUAGAUGGAUCCGCGCCGCAUUAGCUAGUUGGUAAGGUAACGGCUUACCAAGGCGACGAUGCGUAGCCGACCUGAGAGGGUGAGCGGCCACACUGGAACUGAGACACGGUCCAGACACCUACGGGAGGCAGCAGUAGGGAAUCUUCCGCAAUGGGCGAAAGCCUGACGGAGCAACGCCGCGUGAGUGAUGAAGGUCUUCGGAUCGUAAAACUCUGUUAUUAGGGGAGAACAAAUGUGUAAGUAACUAUGCACGUCUUGACGGUACCUAAUCAGAAAGCCACGGCUAACUACGU
rnacentral:rRNA from 1 species